UACGUAGGGUGCGAGCGUUGUCCGGAAUUAUUGGGCGUAAAGGGAGUGUAGGCGGUUGCCUAAGUCUUCUGUGAAAUCUACGGGCUUAGCCUGUAACGUGCAGAGGAAACUGGGUGACUUGAGUGUCGGAGAGGGUAGCGGAAUUCCCGGUGUAGAGGUGAAAUUCGUAGAGAUCGGGAGGAACACCAGUGGCGAAGGCGGCUACCUGGCUGACAACUGACGC
rnacentral:rRNA from 1 species